UUAUUAUAUAUUAUAUUUACAUUUGCGACAUUUAGCAGACGCCCUUAUCCAGAGCGACGUACAAAUGUGCUUUUUUAUAUAUAUUAUAUAUUUUAUUUACAGCAUUUCUUCACACCUGCCUAAAACAUUUGCACUAUAUUCAUUUUCUAACGCUCACUUUUUUAACCUGCGCAGUAAAGAACUUGUUACAGUACAAUGACAUCCCAACCUGUUAGGAUUCAGGGUCAGAGUGCUGAGAGCGCUAUGAGACAGCGCCCCCUGGAGAAAAUUAAGGGCCUCACAACACUGGCAGCUUUACAGUAGACGUUCCCAACCACUGGGUCGUGACCAGAUACCAUCUGGAGGAACAGUAUGUUCCCAUGGCCCAUGGAUGUGAUUAUUGGAUGUGACAUUGUUUUUAUUUUAUUGAUUUUUUUAUUGUUCUAUUUAGCUACCUAAAAAUGUACAUACGGUACACAUCCCAUCACCCAGUGGCGACGAUAUUUACAACGUGGACCUGGUGUGUGGUGUACAGGAGCUUAAAGAGACCUGAAUUCCAGUGUUCUGGUUCUUUCACAUUUCAGCUCAUUAUACAAGCUACUGCAACCACUGAAUAGAGAAUCAUUUGCAUUACAUAACCACAGAGUUGUGCUCUCUAUGUGUGUGUGUGUGUGUGUGUGUGUGUGUGUGUGUGUGUGUGUCUGUGUGUGUGUGUGUGUGUGUGUGUGUGUGUGUGUGUGUGUGUGUGUGUGUGUGUGUGUGUGUGUGUGUUGCGCUUUACCUUGCUGUUGUAUUACUUGUCUUUUUUGGCCUGAAUAAAAGACUUAAUCUGUGUUGGGGUUGUGGGUGGAGCUUACAGGAUGUGGGCGGGGUCCUAUACGGAGCGUCUGUCAAUAAAUGUUUCUAUUGGAUCUAAA